AUGUCCUGGAUUUCACUCCUGAUAAAUCUGAUUUGCUGCACAGGAGUCACUUCUCAGGCUUUGGUGACAAAGUAACCUUCACUGUCCACAUCUCUAGCAGGGACAAUCACACUGACCUGUGGCUCCAGUACUGGGGCCCUCACCACCAGUAACUAUGCUAGCUGGAUCCAACAGAAGCCUAGCAGGUCCUAAGGGGUCUAAUAAGUGAUACCAGCAAUCGGGUCCCAGGAGUCCCUUCCCGGUUCUCUGGCUCCCUUCUUGGAAGCAAGGCAGCUCUCUCCAUCACUGCAGUGCAGGUUGAGGAUGAGGCUAAGUAUUACCGUGCUUUGUGGUUCAGCAACCAUUUCCACAGUGAAUGA